AAAAACUGUUAAAUGUGGGUGUAGCCUAAAUUAUCGGUGACUUAUGCGUGAGACUAAGUCAAUACCUAUUCUCAUCUCAACUUGCGCAAUGAUGUUGUAACAGCUCAUUGCGGAAGUCGUCAUGGAGUCGAUAUCAGCUGACUUUUCGUUUUUUGUUGAGCCCAAGCCCUGUGACUUUAGGAGAUUGAUCACCAAACCCAGGCUUUAUAUUAUAGGCAGCCAAGGAACACGAAUCACUUGUGGGGAAGGUUGCAUAGUAAUGACGUCACCUAUUGAUUGUCCCAGGCGCAUUCAGUCAAGCAUGCACAAAAAUAUUUAUGCAAAUAUAACUUUUUAAUAAAAAAAUUGUUUCUCCAAUGAUAUUUCAUCUGAAUGUUCAUAUUUAGUUAAGCUGAUCCUUGAAUUUGUAUGCGUAUGGACUUUUAUGUCUCGGGCUCCACGAUCCUUGGACACGGAAGUGGAAGAACGGCGAAGGUCCAUAGCUAAUUGUGUGUAAAUAUGGCGAAAGGGACGUCACUUCAAGUCAAGGAUGUUCAUAAGGUGUACGAAAUUAAACAGAGGAGAAUUCAUGGUGGAAGAAGCCUAACUUAAGGUUAUAAUAAGUGAUUCUAGUGUCCAUUCAAUAUUAAGACUGGCUUUCUGAGAGGUGAAGUUCCUAUUGACAACACUGAACCAGCUUUACUCUGAGGUUCUCUAGUCACCUGCGACUCGAGUGUCUCCUGCCUCGACCUGCGGCAUGGGUACUUCGAUACGAGACAGGUGCUCCUGUCACCUGCGACUUGAGCCAUUCCUGCCUUUCCCUGACGAGGAGGUAUUCUCAGGGAAUGGUGCCGUCGCUUUCUCCCGGCACUGACGGGAAUUUGCCUGCCGCUUCUACGUCUCCAUCAAGCUGCUGUGGACUUGGGAGCUUGCUAGCUCGUGAGAUGGCCUGUAGGUAGGCAGACGUCAGGUAGGACUAAAAUAUCACUGAUUUUCGUUCAGGAUCGCUCUGUUUGCUGAUUCGGAGUUUGAAUCA